rnacentral:rRNA from 1 species
GACGAACGCUGGCGGCGUGCUUAACACAUGCAAGUCGAACGGUGAAGCUCCAGCUUGCUGGAGUGGCUCAGUGGCGAACGGGUGAGUAACACGUGAGCAACCUGCCCAUGACUCUGGAAUAAGCGCUGGAAACGGCGUCUAAUACUGGAUACGUGAAGGGUCCGCAUGGGCACUUUCUGGACAGUUUCUCGGUUGGGGAUGGGCGCGCGGCCUAUCAGCUUGUUGGUGAGGUAAUGGCCCACCAAGGCGACGACGGGUAGCCGGCCUGAGAGGGCGACCGGCCACACUGGGACUGAGACACGGCCCAGACGCCUACGGGAGGCAGCAGUGGGGAAUAUUGCACAAUGGUCGAAAGCCUGAUGCAGCGACGCCGCGUGAGGGAUGACGGCCUUCGGGUUGUAAACCUCUUUCAGCAGGGAAGAAGCGAAAGUGACGGUACCUGCAGAAGAAGCACCGGCUAACUACGUG